UACGGGGGGGGCAAGCGUUGUUCGGAAUUACUGGGCGUAAAGGGUUCGUAGGUGGCUUGUUAAGUCAGACGUGAAAUCUCUCGGCUCAACCGGGGAACUGCGUCUGAGACUGAUGAGCUCGAGUGCAGGAGAGGAACGCGGAAUUCCAGGUGUAGCGGUGAAAUGCGUAGAUAUCUGGAGGAACACCGGUGGCGAAGGCGGCGUUCUGGACUGCAACUGACACUGAGGAACGAAAGCCAGGGGAGCAAACGGG
rnacentral:rRNA from 1 species